rnacentral:rRNA from 1 species
CAGCCGCCGCGGUAAUACGUAGGGCGCGAGCGUUGUCCGGAAUUAUUGGGCGUAAAGAGCUCGUAGGCGGUCUGUCGCGUCUGUCGUGAAAGCCCACGGCUUAACUGUGGGUCUGCGGUGGAUACGGGCAGGCUAGAGGCAGGUAGGGGAGCAUGGAAUUCCCGGUGUAGCGGUGAAAUGCGCAGAUAUCGGGAGGAACACCGGUGGCGAAGGCGGUGCUCUGGGCCUGUUCUGACGCUGAGGAGCGAAAGCGUGGGGAGCGAACAGGAUUAGAUACCCUGGUAGUCCACGCCGUAAACGUUGGGCGCUAGGUGUGGGGUUCUUCCACGGAUUCCGCGCCGUAGCUAACGCAUUAAGCGCCCCGCCUGGGGAGUACGGCCGCAAGGCUAAAACUCAAAGGAAUUGACGGGGGCCCGCACAAGCGGCGGAGCAUGUUGCUUAAUUCGACGCAACGCGAAGAACCUUACCAAGGCUUGACAUCGCCGGAAAUCCCGCAGAGAUGCGGGGUCCUUUUUGGGCCGGUGACAGGAGGUGCAUGGCC